UACGUAGGGGGCAAGCGUUGUCCGGAAUCAUUGGGCGUAAAGCGCGCGUAGGCGGCUCGAUCAGUCUGCUGUGAAAGUCAAAGGCUCAACCUUUGAAUGCCGGUGGAUACUGUCGAGCUAGAGUCCGGAAGAGGCGAGUGGAAUUCCUGGUGUAGCGGUGGAAUGCGCAGAUAUCAGGAGGAACACCAACGGCGAAGGCAGCUCGCUGGGACGGUACUGACGCUAAGGCGCGAAAGCGUGGGGAGCGAACAGG
rnacentral:rRNA from 1 species